UGAGGAAUAUUGGUCAAUGGGCGUGAGCCUGAACCAGCCAAGUAGCGUGCAGGAUGACGGCCCUAUGGGUUGUAAACUGCUUUUAUAUGGGAAUAAAGUGAGGGACGUGUCCCUUAUUGCAUGUACCAUACGAAUAAGGACCGGCUAAUUCCGUGCCAGCAGCCGCGGUAAUACGGAAGGUCCAGGCGUUAUCCGGAUUUAUUGGGUUUAAAGGGAGCGUAGGCUGUUUGUUAAGCGUGUUGUGAAAUGUAGGAGCUCAACUUUUAGAUUGCAGCGCGAACUGGCAGACUUGAGUGCGCACAACGUAGGCGGAAUUCAUGGUGUAGCGGUGAAAUGCUUAGAUAUCAUGACGAACUCCGAUUGCGAAGGCAGCUUACGGGAGCGCAACUGACGCUAAAGCUCGAAGGUGCGGGUAUCGAACAGG
rnacentral:rRNA from 1 species